rnacentral:rRNA from 1 species
AGCGAACGCUGGCGGCAGGCCUAACACAUGCAAGUCGAACGAACCUUUCGGGGUUAGUGGCGGACGGGUGAGUAACACGUGGGAACGUGCCUUUAGGUUCGGAAUAACUCAGGGAAACUUGUGCUAAUACCGAAUGUGCCCUUCCGGGGAAAGAUUUAUCGCCUUUAGAGCGGCCCGCGUCUGAUUAGCUAGUUGGUUGAGGUAAUGGCUCACCAAGGCGACGAUCAGUAGCUGGUCUGAGAGGAUGAUCAGCCACAUUGGGACUGAGACACGGCCCAAACUCCUACGGGAGGCAGCAGUGGGGAAUCUUGCGCAAUGGGCGAAAGCCUGACGCAGCCAUGCCGCGUGAAUGAUGAAGGUCUUAGGAUUGUAAAAUUCUUUCACCGGGGACGAUAAUGACGGUACCCGGAGAAGAAGCCCCGGCUAACUUCGUG